UCCAGACUCCUACGGGAGGCAGCAGUGGGGGAUAUUGCACAAUGGGGGGAACCCUGAUGCAGCGACGCCGCGUGGGUGAAGGAGCGUUUCGGCGCGUAAAGCCCUCUCGGCAGGGAAGAAGGAGGACGGUACCUGACUAAGAAGCCCCGGCUAACUACGUGCCAGCAGCCGCGGUAAUACGUAGGGGGCAAGCGUUAUCCGGAUUUACUGGGUGUAAAGGGGGCGCAGACGGCAGCGCAAGCCAGGAGUGAAAGCCCGGGGCCCAACCCCGGGACUGCUCUUGGAACUGCGCGGCUGGAGUGCAGGAGGGGCAGGCGGAAUUCCUGGUGUAGCGGUGAAAUGCGUAGAUAUCAGGAGGAACACCGGUGGCGGAGGCGGCCUGCUGGACUGCGACUGACGUUGAGGCCCGAAAGCGUGGGGAGCAAACAGGAUUAGAUACCCCGGUAUGA
rnacentral:rRNA from 1 species